CAGAGGGAGGGCUGUAGAGAGACGAGACGGAGAAAAUAAAUUGAAAGAGGGUGGAGGGGGGGGGGGGUGACCGAAGGCGAAGAAACUCCGACCACCCAAAUGGUAGAUCUAGGUUUUUUUUCUUUUUCUUUGAGAUGGAAGAGAGGUUUUUUAAAGAGAGAAGGGAGCGUCUUUUCAAAUGAUAAACACACAAGUUUAAUGUAAAGGUGACUGAGCACAAUCUAUCUAGUAGGACAUGAGUGAUAACAGAACACCAUCUAUUCCAGGACACGAAAGUCCUGUCUCCAUUUGCUCCACCAUCUAUACCAGAACCAAUAGCAUAUCCAAUUAUUGGCUUCUCAUCUUUGCGAAGACUGCGAAGACUGCAUGGUUCAACAAACUUAUUUGUUUUCACUUUUCAGUAUUUUUGGUUCUGUUUGACUCUUCCUUCUCAAAUUGCUUAUUUCAUACUUUUGCAUUUACUUUGGAAACAGUUUGGUUUUUAAAACCUUUAUAGUAAUAGCUUAGCCUU